rnacentral:lncRNA from 1 species
AUCUACUCCCUGGGAUAUUACUCAGUCGCGUCUCUUUGUUUCCUUUUUAUCUCUCUGGGUGUAGAGUGUUUCUCUCCUUCCCGUUUCUUGUUCGUAGAGCUUCUAUUCGUUGUCUUCUCUGGUUCUCAUCCUCCUUUUAUUGAAGAUCCUUGCCGAGAAAUUGCGGAAAUCGUUGUGUCUCAUCCUCAUUUGUUUCUUCUUUGUCUAGCAGAAAUCGAACGGAGGGUAAGUGUUUUUUAAUUGGCUAGUUUAGGUACCAUGUUGCUUCGACUUUCUAUCUAAAUCUGAUAUUUUUUCUGGAAAAUUUUCCCUUUAAGAUGACGGAUCUGGAUCUUCCCAACCGUAUCAUUGCAUCACUAAUUAGUUGUUAGCCAUAUUGUUAUUCAAUAAUACUUUUAUUGGGCGUCACUGUUUUUUGACAGGUAACCUUUACUAUUUUGUUCUACAGGCCCAGACUAGUCCAACUAACCCGACCGAUCUGUCCACGUCGUGGACUUAGUAACAAUGUCAAUAUUGUAUAUAUCAUAUAUUAGUCGAUACCUAUUUCGUUAGUAGGAUGGUGAUCGGCUAAACCUAGUAGGCAUGUGUGACAAAGAUUCAGGGUAUUCUACUGCAAUUGUUUGUUAUUCAAUUAUUAUUUCGUUAUAAAUUAUUAAGAAGUUUAGUUGAUAAUAUUUUUCUUAGCGGAUACGAUUAGUUCUCACCUUUUAUUACCACGUUUUUUGUAGUUUGGCACAUUGGUUCGUGAUCCCCAUGUUUUUAGCUGACGAUCCGGAUAUCCAUGAUAAAUUUGUUUUGCUUAGUUCAUUUAUACGACCGGAGACACUGUUUAAAAUUGUUAUAUAUGGUUUUUAACUCCAACCGUGAUACCUUCCUAUUUAUCCUUUACAUAUUGUCGAUAAAUUAUCAGCCGCGUCCUUUUGUUUGUAUAUUAGGUGUCUGAGUUAUGCUGCCAUAAUCGCCGCCACAUGACCUCCAUGUCC